UAGGGAAUCUUCCACAAUGGACGCAAGUUUGAUGGAGCAACGCCGCGUGAGUGAAGAAGGUUUUCGGACCGUAAAGCUCUGUUGUUGGUGAAGAAGGAUAGAGGUAGUAACUGGCCUUUAUUUGACGGUAAUCAACCAGAAAGUCACGGCUAACUACGUGCCAGCAGCCGCGGUAAUACGUAGGUGGCAAGCGUUGUCCGGAUUUAUUGGGCGUAAAGCGAGCGCAGGCGGAAGAAUAAGUCUGAUGUGAAAGCCCUCGGCUUAACCGAGGAAUUGCAUCGGAAACUGUUUUCUUGAGUGCAGAAGAGGAGAGUAGAACUCCAUGUGUAGCGGUGGAAUGCGUAGAUAUAUGGAAGAAUACCAGUGGCGAAGGCGGCUCUCUGGUCUGCAACUGACGCUGAGGCUCGAAAGCAUGGGUAGCGAACAGGAUUAGAUACCCUGGUAGUCCAUGCCGUAAACGAUGAGUGCUAAGUGUUGGGAGGCUUCCGCCUCUCAGUGCUGCAGCUAACGCAUUAAGCACUCCGCCUGGGGGAGUACGACCGCAAGGUUGAA
rnacentral:rRNA from 1 species